AUUCAUCUAAAGGAGAGGGAUAGGAAUUCGGCAGAAUGCAUUUUUGUUCUUUUCUUUCUAUAUAGUUAUCAUCUUGUCUUGCAUAUUUGGGAUGCUUAUGUUGAGAAUUUGGGAAGGGUUUGUGAAUGAAAAGUAUUGUUGAAGUCAUGAACUUUAUUUUGGUAUCAAACUUGUGAUCAUUUCUUCACUGCUGGGAUUUUAAAAUCUAGUUUAAAAGAGAGGAAGCUUUGGUUGUGUUUCAAAAGAAAGUGUUCUUCAUUUUUACAAAUUGGGUGGCUUUGAUUCAUCCUUGGAUUGCUUUGAAUUGUGGUUUAGCAAGGUUUUCAAGCGUCUUUGAGAGCUCGAGCUUUGUUCUGCAGAAUUUUCUGCACUGCAACCUGAACUUCAAAGGAUCAUAACUUUCUCAUUUUAAACCCAAAUUGGGUGAUUUUUUAGUCUAAAUUGACCGGCUCGAAGUAAGCUUUCCAAUGAUACCAAUUUCAGCCAUAGAUUCUAAUUGUGGAGAGAGUUAUUACCUCUGUAGUGCAAACUACUGCUUGUUUUUUAGAAAUCUAGAAUUUCGCUUUCAGAGCUCGAGCCUUUAUGCUUAGAGCUCGAGCAUUCAUUGCUGUAAACUGAAAUUUAAACUGUAAUUGGUAUUUUGAAAUGGGAAGGUGUAUACUUGUGUAGGGAAUUGUUAUAGAACACUGUUGAUGAGAUUAUAUUAUAAAUGUGAGUAGAAGAGCAUGUUUAAUGUGUUA